rnacentral:rRNA from 1 species
CGGAGGAUCCAAGCGUUAUCCGGAUUUAUUGGGUUUAAAGGGUGCGUAGGUGGUUUUUUAAGUCAGGGGUGAAAGACGGCAGCUUAACUGUCGCAGUGCCUUUGAUACUGAAGAACUUGAAUAAACUAGAGGUAGGCGGAAUGUGACAAGUAGCGGUGAAAUGCAUAGAUAUGUCACAGAACACCAAUUGCGAAGGCAGCUUACUAUGGUUUGAUUGACACUGAGGCACGAAAGCGUGGGGAUCAAACAGGAUUAGAUACCCUGGUAGUCCACGCCCUAAACGAUGAAUACUCGAUGUUGGCGAUAUACGGUCAGCGUCUAAGCGAAAGCGUUAAGUAUUCCACCUGGGGAGUACGCCCGCAAGGGUG